GAUGCCCACAUUAGUCUCACCCGACCUUAUAGCGCCAUCUAUAAUGUUGGCGGAAAAAGCAGCAGACAUUAUCAAAAGUGGUCAAGUAUCUAAGAAGAAAAUUACAAAGAAACCUAGAUAGCAACGAUUACGUAUAGGAUCUUCAAUUAACAUACAAAUGUGUUCUUUAAUUUAUAAAAACUAAUUCCGAAAUGCAUGCAUGUAUUAAUUUUUUAACGUACAUGUAGGUGUUACAUGCUUUUUGAACAGCGCAAAGAGGAGACAUUUUAUCAUUCUUAUAUCCUAAAUGUAUAUGUCAUUUCAAGAUACUUGACAAGGAUAAUUUCGAUACAUUUUUGUUAAAAAUAGAAACUAUUGAUCGUUGUUUCCUCGAUUUGUCGAUAGAUCUAUAGUGUUUUCUGUGUACUUAAAGAUUUACAAUAAUAUUAUGUCUACUUGAGUGUUGAUUACUUUAUAUAUGGCUAACACACAUCUAUAUAAUCAUACCAUGGUGUUUGCAGAAACCCAUCAAGCUAGGAUACAUUGUGUAAAUCUAUUAUUUAUCAUAUGUUUAAUAAAUAUUAUAUUUAUGGU
rnacentral:misc_RNA from 1 species